GUUCUGGUAAGAGCAGGACAGAGGUUUCUAGGGCAUGAAGGAAAAAAAUAUUGAUGUUGGAAAAUCCUCCUGACUCCAAUGCUUGUUGGCAGAGCUUCUGAUGGAUUUCCUUAUCUUUGAAUAUAGUUCUAGAAAGCCUGGCUGGAAAAUAUGGAAUCUGUUUCAUGUGCUGCCAGUGAGACAAUGUUGUUUGCGUGCUUUCCUCAAAGUCCUGCAUCCUGCUCGCGGUGCUGAGGUCUGUGCGAACCCUUUUUGGAGCGCUUUUUGCGGAGGGGACCCGGGGGACACUCAUGGCUCUCUGCAUCUUCCUCGGGAGGGCGAGAGGAGCGGCAGAGCCCCAUCUCUCCGCUGAGCACCCGAGGGGCCGACCUCAAGUCGUGUCGGGGGAGGUUUAGGCUGGAGAUUAAGGAAAGGC
rnacentral:lncRNA from 1 species